AACUAAUGAACUUGAAUAAGUGUAUAUUUUGAAAAUAUAUAAAAGAAACAUGACUUUCUAUUAGUUU
rnacentral:tRNA from 1 species